GUGCGGGGGGGUGGGGGGGGGGGGGGGGGGGGGGGGGGGGGGGGGGGAGCCUGGGACAAAGGUCUGGAAGCUGGAGCUGUAACGCUGCCCUGGAUGGGUGGCCAGGGGACAGCCUGAGGGGGCGCCGGCCCGGGCCAGAAUCAAAAAUCGAGGUUUCUCGGAAAAGGCAGUUUAGGGACCUUGACUGGGCCGGGAGGGAAAACACGGGGGGGUGGCAACCUGAGGAAGGGUUACUGGGGGCUGAGGAGCUGCCAUUGGAAAGGCCUUGAAUGACAGGUUGAAGAGCCUGCCGUUGAGAACGGUGCCCCCUUGCUCGGGAAGCCGCCCCGGACCUCCCUCCCUCUGCUGCCGGUGGAAGCCUCUCCAAGCCUAAUUUGGAAGCGACGGCGCCGAGAACUUGGGGCUGGGCCGGGGCCGGACCCUGGUCCCCAGCCCGGGGGUCUGUGUGCCGGCCGUCAGUCCGCGUCUCGCUCUCCCCGGGUCCAAGCCCUCCCGGCCCGGGCCAGGAACGAGACCCCCACUCUCCGGAGCCCCCCGCGCCGCUGCUGAGGGUCAGCCGCCUCCUUCGCCUGGCGGGGCGCCCGGGUCCGUUCUCCCUUUGUCCGGGUCCGGCCCGGCCCGCGCGCCCCGCGGUCCCGGCCAAGCCGAGCCGGAGGGGCGGGGGCGGUCCGGCCCCAACCUCUUGUCCCGGGCCGUCGGGCCCCCUCCGCCCCCGCCCUCCUCUCUCGGGUUUCCUCUUCCUCCCGCCUCCUUCGCUCGACGCCGGUGUGUGCGGGGCCCCGGCGGAGCCCGGGCCGGGAGGAAGGAGGAGAAGGGGUGGCGGCGGCCGGGCUGGGCAGAGCGGAGCUCGCGAGGGCCCGGCUCGGGGAGACCUUGGGGGGCUUCUCGCCCUGCUUCCCCGCCUCGGCUUCGGCCGCGAACCCCGGGCGCCGCCGCCUCGGCUGCUUGGUCCCGCGUCUGCCCGGCUCCCGAGGCGUCCCCGCCGCCAGCCCGGACCCCCGAAAGUCCGGAGACUCCAGGCCCGGGGCAGUCCUGCAGUCCCGCCGCGGCCCGGGCGGCCAGAUCCCCAGGCGCCAGCACGGGUUCUCUGGGUGCUCCCCCUGACCUCCCCUUGCUCCUGGGCGGCCCCAUGGCUCAGCCCAUUCCAUCCCCUGGGGAGAAACGUCUCGGGCCACGUCCUCAUCCCUGACCCGGGACCCCCGCCCAGCCGCAGACAGUGGGCCUAAGGGCAGAGAGCCUGGGAUGGGGCCAGUGCUUGGCGGCCGCCCCACGACGGACGGACUGACCGACAUCAGCCAGGCUGCACCCUCUUGCCGGCCGAUGAGCUCACGGUUCUGCCCUUUGCCGGGCAGCUGUGGAGAGACGUGGUGCCACUGCCAGAGUCCGGGCUGGGCCCCCGACACCCCUCAGAGAGAAGGUGGAGGGAAGUCACAUGGGCAGGACCAGUGUGGAGAGAACUGGGCGUUGGGUGCCCGCGGAUGCCCAAGACUUCCAGGGCCGGUGUGAGCGGCCAACAGCCCAGCAUGGAGCCCGGCGUCCGGGGCACCGGGCAGAUGGCCUUCCUCAGCAAUCUGCUGGCGGCUUACUCCUUCAUCAGUGAGCACCCUGAGCGCGCGGCCCUGUGCUUCGUGUCCGGCGUGUGCGUGGGGCUCGUGCUCACGCUGGCCGCCUUGGUGCUGACCGUGUCCUGCCGCGCCGACUGCCGGCCGCGGCGCGGGAAGAAGGGCCCGGCCGGGCGCCGCGGCGGCAGCU
ensembl:lncRNA